rnacentral:rRNA from 1 species
AUACGUAGGGAGCGAGCGUUGUCCGGAAUUACUGGGUGUAAAGGGAGCGUAGGCGGGAGUGCAAGUCAGAUGUGAAAUACAUGGGCUCAACCCAUGGGCUGCAUUUGAAACUGUGGUUCUUGAGUGUGGUAGAGGUAAGCGGACUUCCUAGUGUAGCGGUGAAAUGCGUAGAUAUUAGGAGGAACAUCGGUGGCGAAGGCGGCUUACUGGGCCGUUACUGACGCUGAGGCACGAAAGCGUGGGGAGCAAACAGGAUUAGAUACCCUGGUAGUCCACGCUGUAAACGAUGAUGACUAGGUGUGGGGGGACUGAACCCUUCCGUGCCGCAGUUAACACAAUAAGUCAUCCACCUGGGGAGUACGGCCGCAAGGUUGAAACUUAAAGGAAUUGACGGGG